GGUUUCCUAGUGUAAUGGUUAUCACUGCGGAUUCUGAUCACAUAUCGUGAAUAUUCCGCCGAUCUGGGUUCGAUUCCCAGGGAGACCU